rnacentral:rRNA from 1 species
GACGAACGCUGGCGGCGUGCUUAACACAUGCAAGUCGAACGGUGAAGCGCCUUCCUUUUUGGUGGGUGUGGAUGAGUGGCGAACGGGUGAGUAACACGUGAGUAACCUGCCCCCUUCUUCUGGAUAACCGCAUGAAAGUGUGGCUAAUACGGGAUAUUCUGGGUCUGUCGCAUGAUGGGUCUGGGAAAGAUAUUGUUUCGGUGGGGGAUGGGCUCGCGGCCUAUCAGCUUGUUGGUGGGGUGAUGGCCUACCAAGGCGGUGACGGGUAGCCGGCCUGGGAGGGUGGACGGUCCCACUGGGACUGAGACACCGCCCAGACUCCUACGGGAGGCAGCAGUGGGGAAUAUUGCACAGUGGGCGCAAGCCUGAUGCAGCGACGCCGCGUGAGGGAUGGAGUCCUUCGGGUUGUGAACCUCUUUCGCCAGUGAAGCAGGCCUGCCUCGUUUGUGGGUGGGUUGACGGUAGCUGGAUAAGAAGCGCCGGCUAACUACGUG